CCUACGGGUGGCUGCAGUGGGGAAUAUUGGGCAAUGGACGCAAGUCUGACCCAGCAACGCCGCGUGAAGGAAGAAGGCUUUCGGGUUGUAAACUUCUUUUAAGGGGGAAGAGCAGAAGACGGUACCCCUUGCCUCAGCCACGGCUAACUACGUGCCAGCAGCCGCGGCAAUACGUAGGUGGCAAGCGUUGGCCGGAUUUACGGGGUGUAAAGGGCGUGCAGCCGGAGAGACAAGGCCGAUGGGAAAUCCACGGGCUCAACCCGUGAACUGCAUUUGAAACUGUGUCCCUUGAGUGUCGGAGAGGUAAUCGGAAUGCCUGGUGUAGCGGUGAAAUGCGUAGAUAUAAGGAAGAACACCAGUGGCGAAGGCGGAUUACUGGACGAUAACUGACGGUGAGGCGCGAAAGCGUGGGGAGCAAACAGGAUUAGAUACCCGUGUAGUC
rnacentral:rRNA from 1 species